UACGUAGGUGGCAAGCGUUGUCCGGAAUUAUUGGGCGUAAAGGGCUCGUAGGCGGUCCGUCACGUCGGGAGUGAAAACUUGGGGCUUAACCCCAAGCCUGCUUCCGAUACGGGCGGACUAGAGGUAGGCAGGGGAGAACGGAAUUCCUGGUGUAGCGGUGAAAUGCGCAGAUAUCAGGAGGAACACCGGUGGCGAAGGCGGGUCUCUGGGCCGAUACUGACGCUGAGGAGCGAAAGCGUGGGGAGCGAACAGG
rnacentral:rRNA from 1 species